GGCAGGCCGGGCGCGCACGCUGCCAGGCUGUAUCGCCGCUCCCGCCGCCGUCGGGACUGGAAGUGAGCGGCCCGGGCCCGCAGCGCCAGCGAGCCAGUGAGAGCGUCCCGCAGCCUCCCGCAGCCUCCCGCACCCGGUGCAAAGCAUGGCGGCCUCCAAGGUGGCUUUAACCAAGAGAGCAGAUCCAGCCGAACUUAGAACAAUAUUUUUGAAGUAUGCAAACAUUGAAAAAAAUGGUGAAUUUUUCAUGUCGCCCAAUGACUUCGUCAUUCGAUAUUUGAAUAUUUUUGGAGGAAGCCAGCCUAAUCCAAAGACUGUGGAACUUUUAAGUGGUGUGGUGGAUCAGACCAAAGAUGGAUUAAUAUCCUUUCAAGAAUUUGUGGCGUUUGAAUCUGUCCUGUGUGCCCCAGAUGCUUUGUUCGUGGUGGCCUUCCAGCUGUUUGACAAAGCUGGCAAAGGAGAAGUCACUUUUGAGGACGUUAAGCAAGUUUUUGGACAGACCACAAUUCAUCAACGUAUUCCAUUUAACUGGGAUUCAGAAUUUGUGCAACUACACUUUGGAAAAGAAAGAAAAAGACACCUGACAUAUGCGGAAUUCACUCAGUUUUUACUGGAAAUACAAUUGGAGCAUGCGAAGCAAGCCUUUGUUCAAAGGGACAAUGCCAGGACCGGAAAGGUCACAGCCAUUGACUUCCGAGACAUCAUGGUCACCAUCCGCCCUCAUGUCUUGACACCUUUUGUAGAAGAAUGUCUUGUAGCUGCUGCUGGAGGUACCACGUCCCAUCAAGUUAGUUUCUCCUAUUUUAAUGGAUUUAAUUCACUCCUUAACAACAUGGAACUCAUUAGAAAGAUCUACAGCACUCUGGCUGGCAACAGGAAAGAUGUAGAGGUGACUAAGGAGGAGUUUGUUCUGGCAGCUCAGAAAUUUGGUCAGGUUACACCCAUGGAAGUUGACAUCUUGUUUCAGUUAGCAGAUUUAUAUGAGCCACGGGGACGUAUGACGUUAGCCGACAUUGAACGGAUCGCUCCUCUGGAAGAGGGAACUCUGCCCUUCAACUUGGCCGAGGCCCAGAGGCAGAAGAAGGCCUCAGUCGAUUCAUCUCGACCAAUUCUCCUACAAAUUGCAGAGUCGGCCUACAGGUUUGGUCUGGGUUCUGUUGCUGGAGCUGUUGGAGCCACUGCUGUGUACCCUAUCGAUCUGGUAAAAACUCGAAUGCAGAACCAGCGAUCCACUGGCUCUUUUGUGGGAGAACUUAUGUAUAAAAACAGCUUGGACUGUUUUAAGAAAGUGCUACGCUAUGAAGGCUUCUUUGGACUGUAUAGAGGUCUCUUGCCACAGUUAUUGGGAGUCGCCCCAGAGAAGGCCAUAAAACUUACAGUGAAUGAUUUUGUGAGGGAUAAAUUUACGCGCAAAGAUGGCUCAGUCCCACUCGCAGCAGAAAUUCUUGCUGGAGGCUGUGCAGGAGCCUCCCAGGUGAUUUUCACAAAUCCUUUGGAAAUUGUCAAGAUCCGUUUGCAGGUGGCUGGAGAGAUCACCACUGGUCCCCGAGUCAGUGCUCUGUCUGUCCUAAGGGACCUGGGCUUCUUUGGGAUCUACAAGGGUGCCAAAGCGUGCUUUCUGCGGGACAUUCCUUUCUCGGCCAUCUACUUCCCAUGCUAUGCUCAUGUGAAGGCUUCCCUUGCAAAUGAAGAUGGGCAGAUAAGCCCCGGAAGCCUGCUCUUCGCUGGCGCCAUAGCCGGUGUUGUCUUUCCUGCAGGUAUGCCUGCGGCAUCUCUAGUGACCCCUGCUGAUGUUAUCAAGACUCGAUUACAGGUGGCCGCCCGGGCCGGCCAGACCACUUACAGUGGAGUGAUAGACUGCUUUAGGAAGAUCCUUCGGGAAGAAGGCCCAAAAGCUUUGUGGAAAGGAGCUGGAGCUCGUGUGUUUCGUUCCUCCCCCCAGUUUGGUGUAACUUUGCUGACCUAUGAAUUGCUGCAGCGAUGGUUCUACGUUGAUUUUGGAGGAGUGAAGCCCAUGGGAGCAGAGCCGGUUCCUAAAUCCAGGGUCACACUGCCUGCUCCCAACCCCGAUCACGUUGGGGGCUACAAACUGGCAGUUGCGACGUUUGCAGGGAUUGAAAACAAAUUUGGGCUCUACCUACCUCUCUUCAAGCCAUCUACCUCACAAGCCGUUGGUAGAGGCCCGUAGGACCGUCCCUGCGCUAUUGCUGUGGCUUUGUUGUUACUGCAAUGAAGAAUGCCCCAGCUUGGAUUGAAGCAACACUUCAUUCCUUUCACUUCCAUCUCCUGUUUAAAUUCAAGUCGAGGCUUUUUAUAAGUGAAAGCAGAGAUUUCUCCACACUUUCGGUCUCAGCCUUUGUCCAGCCUCACUAUGCAGUGUAUGCAUCACCUUCUGAACUAAAGAAGCAGUUCACACUUGACCUAGAACUUCAAGUUACCUGUGACCACUACUUAUAAAAAUCUUACUACUGGAUAUGCCAAAAGAAUUUCAUUGGUUGAAGAGAGAUAACAUGAAAUGGAAAGCCCAGAUCUCCAGAAAGAAACGAAGAGAACCAGAAAAGAAAAAUGUGAAACUCCUGACCAAGCCCUCCCAGAAAGAACCACAAAAACAAAAAGCCCAAGAAGAUACAAAAGCGAAUCCUGAUAACAUAACUUUUUCUCAUAUAAGUGACCAACUGCUCACUUUUAAAAGCAACGGAGGGGCUUCCCUGGGGGCGCAGUGGUUGAGAGUCCGCCUGCCGAUUCAGGGGACGUGGGUUCGUGCCCCGGUCCAGGAGGAUCCCACAUGCCGCGGAGCGGCUGGGCCCAUGAGCCAUGGCCGCUGAGCCUGCGCGCACAUCCGGAGCCACACAAAAAAACGGAUAUCUAAAAGUAUUGAUCCAUCAACAAUGAUUUAUUGAGGACCUACCAUAUGCUUCCUACUUGGAGAAAUCAAUAGAAAUACAAGAUCUGACUGUUCAUAAGGACUUGAAAUCCAGGAGUGCCUCAAAGCCCAUCACUGUGGUUGUGGCUGCUUUGAUGCAAAACACAUACAGCCGGUCCUCUAUAACCGCAGACGCGGAGCCCGCGAUAUGGAAGUCUGACUGUAUUGUGCCGUUUUAUAGAAGGGACUUGAGCAUCCUCGGAUUUUGGUACCUGCAAGGGCUUCUGGAACCAAUUCCUCGUGGAUUCAGAUACCAGGGGACGACUGUACACUCAGAUCUCAAAGCUUUCGUAUUUAUAAUAAGAUGACUCUACUCUUGUGGUGACUUUGACACAACUCCCAUUUUAACUCCUUUCAGGGAGCCUAUUGGCUAUAAAACUCCAUAUAUCCUUGAAUACACGCAUUUACCCUUUUGAGACAAAGUUCUUAAACUAAGCUGACAUACCUGAAAAUGUAAAACUUUGUGGAAACCCUUGUCACCACAAAAUAAUAGGCAAAAUAACUUAAAUGUCAUAUGGAGAAAAUGUUUUCACUGAAAGCAGAAGAGUAAUUUACAAAUCCGCUAAAUGUAAAUUCUGUAAGGGCUGGUGCCUUGUUUAGCAUGCAGUAAGUGCUCAAUAAACAUUUGUUGAACAAAACAGCAAAGAAAGAGGCAAACUUACGCCUUUUUCCCCAACAGGAGCACAUUUGAGAAAUGGCGAUACAGUUUGAAAAUUAUCCACAGACAUUUGUCGUUUAUUUAACUAAGCUGGGAUUGUUCCCAGCCCCUAUUAUCCCACAACAGUCUGCACA